rnacentral:rRNA from 1 species
GACGAACGCUGGCGGCGUGCUUAACACAUGCAAGUCGAACGGAAAGGCCCUGCUUUUGUGGGGUGCUCGAGUGGCGAACGGGUGAGUAACACGUGAGUAACCUGCCCUUGACUUUGGGGUAACUUCAGGAAACUGGGGCUAAUACCGGAUAGGAGCUCCUGCUGCAUGGUGGGGGUUGGAAAGUUUCGGCGGUUGGGGAUGGACUCGCGGCUUAUCAGCUUGUUGGUGGGGUAGUGGCUUACCAAGGCUUUGACGGGUAGCCGGCCUGAGAGGGUGACCGGCCACAUUGGGACUGAGAUACGGCCCAGACUCCUACGGGAGGCAGCAGUGGGGAAUAUUGCACAGUGGGCGGAAGCCUGAUGCAGCAACGCCGCGUGCGGGAUGACGGCCUUCGGGUUGUAAACCGCUUUCGCCUGUGACGAAGCGUGAGUGACGGUAAUGGGUAAAGAAGCACCGGCUAACUACGUG